rnacentral:rRNA from 1 species
UACGGAGGGUGCAAGCGUUGUCCGGAUUUAUUGGGUUUAAAGGGUGCGUAGGUGGCGUCUUAAGUCUGGUUUGAAAGCAGGCGGCUUAACCGUCUGAUGUGGCUGGAAACUGGGAUGCUUGAAUGCGUUGGCGGUAGCCGGAACGGGUCAUGUAGCGGUGAAAUGCAUAGAUAUGACCCAGAACACCGAUUGCGAAGGCAGGCUACUACGACGUGAUUGACACUGAGGCACGAGAGCAUGGGUAGCGAACAGG